GAUCUCAGACAUCCUCAGCUGAACUCGGUGAACGUGAACAACAGAAUGGCUGCCUCCGUGGAGGGCCCCGGCUGCAUUUGAUGGCAUGUUGCGGCAGGAAAGGCAGAGUCCCAGGCUUGCUCGGGCUUUUAUGCUUUUCCUUUCAUCUGGUGGCAGGGCGGCCAGAGUAUACUGCUGAAUACAAUGCUGUUCUCUAUAAUCAACUGGAAAACUCCAAGAGAUCACCUGUCACUUCCUAUCAGCAUACCAGUCACACUUCUCCUGUGAGGAUCUGUGUGGAGUUUCUGGGGGAAGUCUAGCUCACUUGUGCUGAGAUGCUCAGCUGGCAGGGAGCCCAAGACCACUCCAUCAUCACAGGUCACAUUGGAAAGCCUCAUCAGAACUGCUCUUCUCUUCAGAAAGAUGUCUCAGAGGGUUUCCAGGGUGAUUCAGAACAUCCUCUUGAGAUGCUGAGAGACUCAGGUCAGAGGAUGCGUCUAGACGCAGGAGUCUACACUGUUUCCCAAGCAUCAUCAAACCCUGCAAUAGUCUUUCAAAUCUGCCCUAGCCAUUGAAAAGGUAAGGGGGAAACAUCACUGUGUAACUGGGUAUUUUCUAAUCCUUGUGCCUCUGUGUACUAAAAUUUCACUUUCAACGGUAAGGUUUGAGGCAUUUUCCCUGAAGAGGAAAGAAUUAUUGAUGCAAAAGAUGUUACUGAAAGGGAAAAUAAUCAGAUGGGAAAAAAAAGGGGUGAACACAGAGAAAUGCCUUACUCCUGUUCCUACUGUUAACUUCUAAUUUCUUAUCCUUGGAGAUACUUCCCCUUAACUUGACCUUAAAAAGAAUGAACUCUGAAUGUCACAGGAGUCCUUGUGAUCGAUCGCCAGGUAAAGACCAAAGGUAGAAGUCUGUGAUGGUGGAGGGGAAUUUUAAUUCUCUUCCUUCAUCAGUAGCUAACUUAGGUGGUUAGAAAAGGAAAGGAAAUGUUUCCUUAAAAAGGAAACAUUCUAAAAUUAGAAUCUGAUGCAACCUCUCAUAUCAUUCCCAAACAGAAUCAUUUUACUGGCUAUUUGUUGGCAAUCAGAUGCAUAGAUCUGCAUAUUUUUAUUGGCCUUUGCCACAGAAAUAGCAUCUCAAAGUCUUUUCCCAUACGUAUCACACAAAAAUAAAUGAUAAUUCUAUUUGACAGUUCCUUUCAUCUAAGGAUCUUAAUCACCCAAACAUUCCUUAAUAAAAAUUUGCAACACCCUGUGAGGGAGGUAAAUAUUAGUGUGCUAUUUUAUGAAUGAGGAAGAUGGUUAAUAAGGAGAUUAAGCUAUUUGCCUAUAACGAGGUAAGUUUGUAGAUAUGGAGUCAAAUUUCCACCCUCUGCGAGGAACUCGAUAAUUGUUAAACUAAGACAAAGCCUUUACUUAUCCUUUAAAAAAGAUUGAGCAAAAUUGAAACCUGGCUUUUUUGUUCCCAAGUUACUAGACUUCAUCCCCAAACAAUGAUAAUACAUUUUUCAAAAAGAGAGAGGCUCAUAUUUACAGGUAUGAAUUCAUUUCUCCAUUGCUUUACAGAACCUUAAGACUGUAGCAUGUUGUUCCCUAAACAACCUGUAACUGAAUCACAAUCUUUUCAAAGAAGGUGUGGAAUUUGUUAUUAUGUAGUAUAAUCUUUGUCUUCCAAAUCUAUCCUACAUUUAGAUCUAUGUCUUCUUGUAAAAUGCUCCUAACAUAGUACUUUGCUGCCUUAGAUAAGAAUAAUUUCAUACCACUUAUUAGGAUGUAGAGUUCUAAUGUGUUUUCUCUACU